UACGGAAGGGGGCUAGCGUUGCUCGGAAUCGACUGGACGUAAGCGCACGUAGGCGGAUCUUUAAGUCAGGGGUGAAAUCCUGGAGCUCAACUCCAGAACUGCCUUUGAUACUGGGGAUCUCGAGUCCGGGAGAGGUGAGUGGAACUCCGAGUGUAGAGGUGAAAUUCGUAGAUAUUCGGAAGAACACCAGUGGCGAAGGCGGCUCACUGGCCCGGUACUGACGCUGAGGCGCGAAAGCGUGGGGAGCAAACGGG
rnacentral:rRNA from 1 species